CAAUAGCGUAUAUUAAAGUUGUUGCGGUUAAAAGCUCGUAGUUGGAUUUCUGUCGAGGGCGGGCGGUCCGCACUAUGUGCGUGUAUCUUGUUCGGUCUUGGCAUCCUCUUGGGGAAUGCUUCUGUGCUUGAUUGCAUGGGGUGGAAUUCAAGACUUUUACUUUGAGGAAAUUAGAGUGUUCACGGCAGGCAAACGCCUUGAAUAUAUUAGCAUGGAAUAAUAAUAUAGGACCUUUGUUCUAUUUUGUUGGUUUCUAGAGCGAAGGUAAUGAUUAAUAGGGAUAAUUGGGGCGAUUCGUAUUAACGCGUCAGAGGUGGAAUUCUUGGAUUGCGUUACGACGAACUACUGCGAAAGCAUUUGCCAAGGAUGUUUUCAUUGAUCAAGAACGAAAGUUAGGGGAUCGAAGACGAUUAGAU
rnacentral:rRNA from 1 species